CACAUGCAAGUCGCACGGUCAGUUUCGGCUGGCAGUGGCGGACGGGAGUAACGCGUAGGGAUUUAUCGUUGGGUGGGGGAUAACCUCGGGAAACUGGGGCUAACCGCAUGACGCCUGUGGGCCAAAGCAGCAAUGCGCCUGACGAGAAGCCUGCGUCCGAUGCUAGUUGGUGGGGUAAAGGCCUACCAAGGCGACGAUCGGUAGCUGGUCUGAGAGGAUUCAGCCACACUGGGACUGAGACACGGCCCAGACUCCUGCGGGAGGCAGCAGUGGGGAAUUGGACAAUGGGCGCAAGCCUGAUCCAGCAAUGCCGCGUGGAUGAAGAAGGUCUUCGGUGUAAAGUCCUUUCGGCGGGGACGAUAAUGACGGUACCCGCAGAAGAAGCCCCGGCUAUUCGUGCCAGCAGCCGCGGUAAUACGAAGGGGGCUAGCGUUGCUCGGAAUGACUGGGCAAAGGGCGCGUAGGCGGAAUGUACAGUCAGACGUGAAAUUCCCGGGCUUAACCUGGGGUGCGUUUGAGACGUAUAUUCUAGAGUUUGGAAGAGGGUCGUGGAAUUCCCAGUGUAGAUGAAAUUCGUAGAUAUUGGGAAGAACACCGGUGGCGAAGGCGGCGACCUGGUCCCUGAGACGCUGAGGCGCGAAAGCGUGGGGAGCAAACAGGAUUAGAUACCCUGGUAGUCCACGGUAAACGAUGUGCGCUGGAUGUUGGACGGCCUAGCCGUUCAGUGUCGUAGCUAACGCG
rnacentral:rRNA from 1 species